rnacentral:rRNA from 1 species
UACGUAGGGGGCUAGCGUUGUCCGGCAUCCUUGGGCGUAAAGCGCGUGUAGGCGGCCCGGUAAGUCCGCUGUGAAAGUCGGGGGCUCAACCCUCGAAUGCCGGUGGAUACUGUCGGGCUAGAGUACGGAAGAGGCGAGUGGAAUUCCUGGUGUAGCGGUGAAAUGCGCAGAUAUCAGGAGGAACACCGGUGGCGAAAGCGACUCACUGGACCGACACUGACGCUGAGGUGCGAAAGCUAGGGUAGCAAACGGG